GGCCUAACACAUGCAAGUCGAGCGGUAACAGGAAUUAGCUUGCUAAUUUGCUGACGAGCGGCGGACGGGUGAGUAAUGCCUGGGAAUAUGCCUUAGUGUGGGGGAUAACUAUUGGAAACGAUAGCUAAUACCGCAUAACGUCUUCGGACCAAAGAGGGGGACCUUCGGGCCUCUCGCGCUAAGAUUAGCCCAGGUGGGAUUAGCUAGUUGGUGAGGUAAAGGCUCACCAAGGCAACGAUCCCUAGCUGGUCUGAGAGGAUGAUCAGCCACACUGGAACUGAGACACGGUCCAGACUCCUACGGGAGGCAGCAGUGGGGAAUAUUGCACAAUGGGGGAAACCCUGAUGCAGCCAUGCCGCGUGUAUGAAGAAAGCCUUCGGGUUGUAAAGUACUUUCAGUCGUGAGGAAGGGUGUGUAGUUAAUAGCUGCAUGCCUUGACGUUAGCGACAGAAGAAGCACCGGCUAACUCCGUGCCAGCAGCCGCGGUAAUACGGAGGGUGCGAGCGUUAAUCGGAAUUACUGGGCGUAAAGCGCAUGCAGGCGGUCUGUUAAGCAAGAUGUGAAAGCCCGGGGCUCAACCUCGGAACCGCAUUUUGAACUGGCAGACUAGAGUCUUGUAGAGGGGGGUAGAAUUUCAGGUGUAGCGGUGAAAUGCGUAGAG
rnacentral:rRNA from 1 species